rnacentral:lncRNA from 1 species
CUUCCUUCCAUGUAUAUGUAUUUCCAAGAGCUCUGCCUAUAACAAUAAUCCUUAUGUUCUGCUUUACUUCUAAGCAUUCAAUACUUACUUUUCAAAUUCCUUUUAUUAAUGAGGAGAAAAAUAUCCUGAAGCUGUGUGAAAUAUGCCAAUUCCUUUAAAAUAUUUAAAGUUGAGAGAUAAAAAUUGGACCUAUGCUCUCUAUAUUCUAGUGUGUCGAAAGGUCUAUAUUCUCAGUUCUGGGGAGGAAGGAAGUCCUCACUUUAAAUGAACCGUGAAAGAUGAAAUGAUAGCUCAAAGGCUUGUGUUGGCAGACCAGGUGGAGCUGAAGUUUCCUAUUCUUUAGCUCAUUCAUUAUGACUCUGCAGGUGGGGCCCUCUCUGAGAUCGCCAUGAACAACCCAGGGGAAGACAGGCCUGAGGCAAGCAACGGCUUGCUGGCCCAAGGUCAUGAUAUGGUCCUGCUGAGAAUCCCUGGGCUUCCCGGUUUGCUCCGAGCAGACUCCCUUGGCAGGUGGCCUCUUGACCCUUGUUCAGUGACUAGGCUUUACCACAGAUAACCAGGUUUCCAGGAUGAUGAACUC